rnacentral:lncRNA from 1 species
UAAUCUUUAAAAAGAAAGUUUAUACACACGACAAUUCAUAAAUAUAAUAUAUACAAUAUUCGUAAGUUGUUCGUCGUGUCACGUAAGCAAGUAGUUUCUGACUAAUCGAUGGAAAGGCAUCGAUCGUACCUGCGGUACAGGUGAAAUCGGCCAACGAUGGAAGGUGGAAGGUUCAGUCCACCAGGUUGAUUCUCGGUUCAAAGACGUUCUUAUAUUUCUCUUUGACGUUUCGAAGAUUUUUCUAAGACGAUUCAAGUAAAUCCAAGAUUAUGGAUAGAGGGAAACAAGUAAGAAAGGGAGAGAAAAGAGCAAGUUCUAUAAAUACCUAACUGGUCGAUGUAUACUAUUCUGCGUUAGCUCGUAUGCAGGAAUUAUCAAGGAGAACUAUCGAAAGAUAUUAAAUGUAAUAAUUCUGCGAGA